rnacentral:rRNA from 1 species
GUCGACGAGUUCUCGUUGAUGAUCGGUGCUUGCACUGAGAUUCAACAUGGAACGAGUGGCGGACGGGUGAGUAACACGUGGGUAACCUGCCCUUAAGUGGGGGAUAACAUUUGGAAACAGAUGCUAAUACCGCAUAGAUCCAAGAACCGCAUGGUUCUUGGCUGAAAGAUGGCGUAAGCUAUCGCUUUUGGAUGGACCCGCGGCGUAUUAGCUAGUUGGUGAGGUAAUGGCUCACCAAGGCGAUGAUACGUAGCCGAACUGAGAGGUUGAUCGGCCACAUUGGGACUGAGACACGGCCCAAACUCCUACGGGAGGCAGCAGUAGGGAAUCUUCCACAAUGGACGCAAGUCUGAUGGAGCAACGCCGCGUGAGUGAAGAAGGCUUUCGGGUCGUAAAACUCUGUUGUUGGAGAAGAAUGGUCGGCAGAGUAACUGUUGUCGGCGUGACGGUAUCCAACCACAAAGCCACGGCUAACUACGUGCCAGCAGCCGCGGUAAUACGUAGGUGGCAAGCGUUAUCCGGAUUUAUUGGGCGUAAAGCGAGCGCAAGCGGUUUUUUAAGUCUGAUGUGAAAGCCCUCGGCUUAACCGAGGAAGCGCAUCGGAAACUGGGAAACUUGAGUGCAGAAGAGGACAGUGGAACUCCAUGUGUAGCGGUGAAAUGCGUAGAUAUAUGGAAGAACACCAGUGGCGAAGGCGGCUGUCUGGUCUGUAACUGACGCUGAGGCUCGAAAGCAUGGGUAGCGAACAGGAUUAGAUACCCUGGUAGUCCAUGCC